AUUGAACGCUGGCGGCAGGCCUAACACAUGCAAGUCGAGCGGAGCGGCGGACGGGUGAGUAAUGCCUAGGAAUCUGCCUGGUAGUGGGGGAUAACGUCCGGAAACUGGCGCUAAUACCGCAUACUAUCAGAUGAGCCUAGGUCGGAUUAGCUAGUUGGUGGGGUAAAGGCCUACCAAGGCGACGAUCCGUAACUGGUCUGAGAGGAUGGUCAGUCAUCCUGGAACUGUGACACGGUCCCUAAUCCUGCGGGAGGCAGCAGUUGGGAAUAUUUGACAUUGGGACAAAGCCUGAUCCAGCCAAGCCCGGGGUGUGCAUAAUGUCUUCGGGUUAUAAAGCACUUUAAGUGGGGAGGCGUUACCAACAGAGUAAGCACCGGCUAACUUCGUGCCAGCAGCCGCGGUAAUUC
rnacentral:rRNA from 1 species